rnacentral:rRNA from 1 species
AUUGAACGCUGGCGGCAGGCUUAACACAUGCAAGUCGAGCGAGCGGCGGACGGGUGAGUAAUGUCUGGGAAACUGCCUGAUGGAGGGGGAUAACUACUGGAAACGGUAGCUAAUACCGCAUACCAUCAGAUGUGCCCAGAUGGGAUUGGCUAGUAGGUGGGGUAAUGGCUCACAUGGGCGACGAUCCCUAGCUGGUCUGAGAGGAUGACCAGCCAAACUGGAACGAGUACACGGUCCAGACUCCUACGGGUGGCAGCAGUGGGAAUUAUUGCACAAUGGGCGCAAGCCUGAUGCAGCCAUGCCGCGUGGGUGAAGAAGGCCUUCGGGUUGUAAAGCACUUUCAGCGAGGAGGCGUUACUCGCAGAAGAAGCACCGGCUAACUCCGUGCCAGCAGCCGCGGUAAUAC